GGUUACUGCUUAUCGAGGUUCGACUANAGCNCAUGCGAGCUCGCAAUGUAUUCANUANAUGGCGUACUGCUCAGCUAACACNUGUGCACAACUCUACCCUUAGGUCNGGGGAUAAACCCGGGAAACUGGGUAUAAUACCCGAUAGAUCUCGGCUGCUGGAAUGCACCGAGCUCUAAAGCUCCGGCGCCUAAGGAUGGGUCUGCGGCCUAUCAGGUANUAGUGGGUGUAGCGUACCUACUANCCUACNACGGGUACNGGUUGUGAGAGCAAGAGCCCGGAGAUGGAUUCUGAGACACGAAUCCAGGCCCUACNGGGUGCAGCANGCGCGAAAACUUUACAAUGCUGGAAACAGCGAUAANGGGACCUCGAGUGCCAGGUUACAAAUCUGGCUGUCNUGAUGCCUAAAAAGCAUUGCAUAGCAAAGGGCCGGGCAAGACCGGUGCCAGCCGCCGGGGUAACACCCGCGGCUCGAGUGGUAACCGUUAUUAUUGGGUCUAAAGGGUCUGUAACCGGCCGGAUAAGUCUCUUGGGAAAUCCAGCAGCUUAACUGUUGGGCUUUUCAGGAGAUAAUGUCUGGCUCGAGGCCGGGAGAGGUGAGAGGUACUUCAGGGGUAGGGGUGAAAUCUUGUAAUCCUUGAAGGACCACCAGUGGUGAAGGCGUCUCACCAGAACGGACCUGACGGCAAGGGACGAAAGCUAGGGGCACGAACCGGAUUAGAUACCCGGGUAGUCCUAGCCGUAAACGAUACUCGCUAGGUGUCGGCCACGGUGCGACCGUUGUCGGUGCCGUAGGGAAGCCGUGAAGCGAGCCACCCUGGGAAGUACGGCCGCAAGGUUGAAACUUAAAGGAAUUGGCGGGGGAGCACCACAACGGGUGGANNUUGCGGUUU
rnacentral:rRNA from 1 species